CAGCAGCCGCGGUAAUACGUAGGUGGCAAGCGUUGUCCGGAAUUAUUGGGCGUAAAGGGCUCGCAGGCGGUUUCUUAAGUCUGAUGUGAAAGCCCCCGGCUCAACCGGGGAGGGUCAUUGGAAACUGGGAAACUUGAGUGCAGAAGAGGAGAGUGGAAUUCCACGUGUAGCGGUGAAAUGCGCAGAGAUGUGGAGGAACACCAGUGGCGAAGGCGACUCUCUGGUCUGUAACUGACGCUGAGGAGCGAAAGCGUGGGGAGCGAACAGGAUUAGAUACCCCUGUAGUCCCUGUCUCUUAUAC
rnacentral:rRNA from 1 species